rnacentral:rRNA from 1 species
CCUACGGGAGGCAGCAGUGGGGGAUAUUGGACAAUGGGGGAAACCCUGAUCCAGCGAUGCCGCGUGAGGGAAGAAGGUUUUCGGAUUGUAAACCUCUGUGGAGGGGGACGAUAAUGACGGUACCCCUGUAGGAAGCCACGGCUAACGACGUGCCAGCAGCCGCGGUAAUACGUAGGGGGCGAGCGUGGUCCGGAUUUACUGGGGGUCAAGGGAGUGGAGGCGGGAAAGCCAGUCAGAAGUGAAAACUAUGGGCUUAACCCAUAGCCUGCUUUUGAAAGUUUUUUUCUUGAGUGAAGGAGAGGCAAGCGGAUUUCCUAGUGUAGCGGUGAAAUGCGUAUAUAUUAGGAGGAGCACCAGUGGCGAUCGCGGCUUGCUGGGCUUUUCCUGCCGCUGUGGCUCGAAAGCGUGGGGAGCAAACAGGAUUAGAUACCCUUGUAGUC